rnacentral:rRNA from 1 species
CGCUGGCGGCGUGCCUAAUACAUGCAAGUCGAGCGGACAGAAGGGAGCUUGCUCCCGGAUGUUAGCGGCGGACGGGUGAGUAACACGUGGGUAACCUGCCUGUAAGACUGGGAUACUCCGGGAAACCGGAGCUAAUACCGGAUAGUUCCUUGAACCGCAUGGUUCAAGGAUGAAAGACGGUUUCGGCUGUCACUUACAGAUGGACCCGCGGCGCAUUAGCUAGUUGGUGAGGUUAACGGCUCACCAAGGCGACGAUGCGUAGCCGACCUGAGAGGGUGAUCGGCCACACUGGGACUGAGACACGGCCCAGACUCCUACGGGAGGCAGCAGUAGGGAAUCUUCCGCAAUGACGAAAGUCUGACCGGAGCAACGCCGCGUGAGUGAUGAACGGUUUUCGGAUCGUAAAGCUCUGUUGUUAGGGAAGAACAAGUGCAAGAGUAACUGCUUGCACCUUGACGGUACCUAACCAGAAAGCCACGGAUAACUACGUGCCAGCAGCCGCGGUAAUACGUAGGUGGCAAGCGUUGUCCGGAAUUAUUGGGCGUAAAGGGCUCGCAGGCGGUUUCUUAAGUCUGAUGUGAAAGCCCCCGGGUCAACCGGGGAGGGUCAUUGGAAACUGGGAAACUUGAGUGCAGAAGAGGAGAGUGGAAUUCCACGUGUAGCGGUGAAAUGCGUAGAGAUGUGGAGGAACACCAGUGGCGAAGGCGACUCUCUGGUCUGUAACUGACGCUGAGGAGCGAAAGCGUGGGGAGCGAACAGGAUUAGAUACCCUGGUAGUCCACGCCGUAAACGAUGAGUGCUAAGUGUUAGGGGGUUUCCGCCCCUUAGUGCUGCAGCUAACGCAUUAAGCACUCCGCCUGGGGAGUACGGUCGCAAGACUGAAACUCAAAGGAAUUGACGGGGGCCCGCACAAGCGGUGGAGCAUGUGGUUUAAUUCGAAGCAACGCGAAGAACCUUACCAGGUCUUGACAUCCUCUGACAACCCUAGAGAUAGGGCUUUCCCUUCGGGGACAGAGUGACAGGUGGUGCAUGGUUGUCGUCAGCUCGUGUCGUGAGAUGUUGGGUUAAGUCCCGCAACGAGCGCAACCCUUGAUCUUAGUUGCCAGCAUUCAGUUGGGCACUCUAAGGUGACUGCCGGUGACAAACCGGAGGAAGCGUGGGGAUGACGUCAAAUCAUCAUGCCCCUUAUGACCUGGGCUACACACGUGCUACAAUGGACAGAACAAAGGGCUGCGAGACCGCAAGGUUUAGCCAAUCCCACAAAUCUGUUCUCAGUUCAGGAUCGCAGUCUGCAACUCGACUGCGUGAAGCUGGGAAUCGCUAGUAAUCGCGGA